CGAGAGUAUGGACGAUAUCCGUUUUGGGUUAGUUUGUUCAUCAUAUUUAUAUGAUUAAUUUCAAGGUUUUAUCAGGUACAAUGGACUGGGACCUCAUCCUAAUGGCCAAGGAUUAGGAAGGCACAUUUUCUUUCUUUUGGCUCAAGCAAACGUUCAAAGUCACAAUGUUUUAAGAGUUUCUGUGCUGUGUAACUGACUAAAAAUACACAUGUGU